rnacentral:rRNA from 1 species
CCUACGGGCGGCAGCAGUGAGGAAUAUUGGUCAAUGGGCGCUAGCCUGAACCAGCCAAGUAGCGUGAAGGAUGACUGCCCUCUGGGUUGUAAACUUCGUUUAUAUGGGAAAAAAGUACAGUAUGUAUACUGCUUCUCAUGUACCUUAUGACUAAGGAUCGGCUAACUCCGUUCCAGCAUCCGCGGUAAUACGGAGGGUACGAGCGUUUUCCGGUUUUAUUGGGUGUAAAGGGAGCGUAGGCGGGUUGUUAAGUCAGUUGUGAAAGUUUGCGGCUCAACCGUAGAAUUGCAGUUGAUACUGGAAUCCUUGAGUACAGGAGAGGUAGGCGGAAUUCGUGGUGUAGCGGUGAAAUGCUUAGAUAUCACGAAGAACUCCGAUUGCGAAGGCAGCCUGCUGGACUGUAACUGACGCUGAUGCUCGAAAGUGUGGGUAUCAAACAGGAUUAGAUACCCUAGUAGUC